CUUCCCCUUUGCUUUAUUGCCAAGAAAAAAGAAGAGACAGACACAGCUGAAGAAGAUUGAAAGGCAAUUACUCAUUUCUCCAUUUCCACAAAAUCCAAAACCAAAAGAAAUCCUUUCUUCGUUCUUCGUUCUUCGUUCUUCGUUCUUCAUUCUACCAUUUCCAUUUUCUUCGUAAAAUCUCCAACAAAAUCUUGACAAACUCCAUAUCCCUUUUCAUCUUCCUCUUCUCGACCUAGGGUUUCACUUCCACGUUCAACCCCAUGAACAUCUCAUUUCCUCAUCCAUAACACAAGAUGUACUCACCCAAUAAAAGCCCCUUAGCUUCUCCGACCAGCUCCCGUUCUGUUACAGAGACUAUUAAUGGCUCCCAUAACUUCGUGAUCAAGGGUUAUUCCCUCGCGAAGGGGAUCGGUGUGGGAAAGCAUAUUGCCAGCGAGAAUUUCUCCGUCGGAGGUUAUCAGUGGGCUAUAUACUUUUAUCCUGAUGGUAAGAAUCCUGAGGAUAAUUCGGCUUAUGUGUCAGUGUUUAUUGCCUUGGCUAGCGAUGGCACUGAUGUUCGUGCCUUGUUUGAGCUCACUUUGGUGGACCAGAGUGGUGAUGGAAAACACAAGGUGCAUAGUCAUUUUGAUCGCUCGCUUGAGAGUGGACCUUACACGCUUAAGUACAGAGGUAGCAUGUGGGGCUACAAGCGCUUCUUCCGAAGGACUUCACUUGAAACCUCAGUUUUCCUCAAGGAUGAUUGCUUGAAAAUAAAUUGCACUGUUGGUGUUGUUGUGUCCGGAAUAGACAGUUCAAGACUACAUUCCAUCCAUGUCCCUGAAUCAGAUAUUGGAGCUCAUUUUGGUACAUUGCUGGAAAAUGAGGAGGGUUCAGAUAUCACUUUCAAUGUGUCUGGGGAAAAGUUACGUGCUCACAAGUUAGUACUGGCUGCUCGCUCUCCUGUUUUUGAGAAUGAUUUUGUGAACAUGAUGGAAGAGGAUAAUGAUGAAAUUCUUAUAACAGAAAUGGAACCUCGGGUUUUCAAGGCUUUGCUGCAUUUCAUUUAUAGGGAUACUCUCCCAGAAGAUGAUGAGUUCUUGGAAGCAAGCUCGUCUUCAGUUCCGUCCUUGCCUGAUUCAUUACCUGCAAAGCUGUUAGCUGCUGCUGAUAAAUAUGAUUUGCCCAGACUAAGAUUGAUGUGUGAAUCUGUACUCUGCAAGGACAUAUCUGUGAACUCCGUAUCCCACAUUCUGGCCCUUGCUGAUCUCUAUCACGCUGCUGAUUUGAAGUCUGUUUGCCUAAAAUUUACCGCCGAAAAUCUUGUUGGUGACUUGGGCGACAUUUUACUUUUUUAAUUAGGAUUGCGCCAGUGUGCCCGGCUGCUUUUUCUUCCUCACAUCUUACAAUUGGUCGAAGAAACUCGUGAUUGUUGCCGUAAUGCAAUCCGAUGGGUUUGAGUUUCUCAAAGAAAACUGCCCGUUGCUACAGUCAGAGCUUUUGAAGACAGUUGCCGGGUGUGAAGACGAGGAGCUUAGCGGAGGAGGCAAGAGUCGUAGCGUAUGGGCUCAAUUCUCUGAUGGUGGGGACACAAAUGACAGGAGUGUGAGGCAACAGACAUGGGAAAAUGGAGAAAGGAGUCGAAGCCUGUGGGUGCAGCAUUCCGAUGGUGGCGAUGCAUGCAUACGGAGUCCAAGGAGAGAAGGCUAGCUAACACACAUAAUCGGUAACUUACUAUUGUGGUCUGUAUAAUAACAUUUAUGACAUGAACUUCAGAACUACCGAGUAAAAGCCAAGAAGAUUUGUAGUACUAGAGAAUGUAAAGGGAAAACAUUGCAAGUUGUUUAUCAGAUCUAUUGUAUGUGGAAUCAGAAAAUUGGCAUUUUUGUGCUUUGACUAAAUUGGUAUGGAAGAUGUCAUAAUCUUUGGAAUGGAAUGUUGCUUGACUGAAUAAAGCUUUACUUGUUUAGAACUGAAUGAAUUUCUGUAAUUGAACUUC